UGUUCUGUUGAUUAGUUGGUUAAAGCGCCGGUCUAGAGAAUACAAGGUCGUGGGUUCGAACCCACCAGAACAC
rnacentral:tRNA from 1 species